AAGUGAAGCGAAAGAACAGAGUGACACAAUGAGACAUAGAUCGAGUGGCAUUUGAUAAUAUAAAGUAAAGUGACAUUAGAGGUAGUGUGAGGCAAAGAAUCAAUGUGAUGUAAAGAAUAAUGAUAAUGACUAAAGUAAAAAGUAAGGAAAUGUAAAGAACGUGAUUGCUAGAGUUAGCAAAAGCAAGGAAAGGUAUAGAAUAAUAAUUGCUAGAGUUAGCAAAAGUAAAGAAAGGUAAAGAACAAUGAUUGCUAGAGUAGCAACAUAAAGUGAUGUAAAAAACACUAGAGUUAGUGUAAAGUCAAGAUUGAACAUACAAUCCUUUGAGUUAAGAAUUCGAUCAUACUUGCUAUGAGUUCCGUGCUCGAGAGCGGUCGCUCCCCCUCGGGCGAUGCUCUUCGGAGUUUUUGCAUCACGGGUUGGAGUAAACCCGAGGACGGUCUUAGUGGGAGG
rnacentral:lncRNA from 1 species